GACGAACGCUGGCGGCGUGCUUAACACAUGCAAGUCGAACGGAAAGGCCCUGCUUUUGUGGGGUGCUCGAGUGGCGAACGGGUGAGUAACACGUGAGUAACCUGCCCUUGACUUUGGGAUAACUUCAGGAAACUGGGGCUAAUACCGGAUAGGAGCUCCUGCUGCAUGGUGGGGGUUGGAAAGUUUCGGCGGUUGGGGAUGGACUCGCGGCUUAUCAGCUUGUUGGUGGGGUAGUGGCUUACCAAGGCUUUGACGGGUAGCCGGCCUGAGAGGGUGACCGGCCACAUUGGGACUGAGAGACGGCCCAGACUCCUACGGGAGGCAGUAGUGGGGAAUAUUGCACAAUGGGCGGAAGCCUGAUGCAGCAACCCCGCGUGCGGGAUGACGGCCUUCGGGUUGUAAACCGCUUUCGCCUGUGACGAAGCGUGAGUGACGGUAAUGGGUAAAGAAGCACCGGCUAACUACGUG
rnacentral:rRNA from 1 species